UUAAGCGACUAAGCGUACACGGUGGAUGCCCUGGCAGUCAGAGGCGAUGAAGGGCGUGCUAAUCUGCGAUAAGCGCCGGUAAGGUGAUAUGAACCGUUAUAACCGGCGAUACCCGAAUGGGGAAACCCAGUGUGACUCGUCACACUAUCAUUAACUGAAUCCAUAGGUUAAUGAGGCGAACCGGGGGAACUGAAACAUCUAAGUACCCCGAGGAAAAGAAAUCAACCGAGAUUCCCCCAGUAGCGGCGAGCGAACGGGGAGGAGCCCAGAGCCUGAAUCAGCAUGUGUGUUAGUGGAAGCGUCUGGAAAGGCGCGCGAUACAGGGUGACAGCCCCGUACACAAAAGCGCAUGUGCUGUGAGCUCGAUGAGUAGGGCGGGACACGUGGUAUCCUGUCUGAAUAUGGGGGGGACCAUCCUCCAAGGCUAAAUACUCCUGACUGACCGAUAGUGAACCAGUACCGUGAGGGAAAGGCGAAAAGAACCCCGGCGAGGGGAGUGAAAAAGAACCUGAAACCGUGUACGUACAAGCAGUGGGAGCCCCACCACCAAAGCAUUCUCUGGUGUUGAAGGCCCUGCAAAGCAGCAUCGCGGUGGCGGAGCGUCGUUUGCGACGCCCAACACACAAAACAAGCGGUGAAUGCUUUGGGGGUGGGGUGACUGCGUACCUUUUGUAUAAUGGGUCAGCGACUUAUAUUCUGUAGCAAGGUUAACCGAAUAGGGGAGCCGGAGGGAAACCGAGUCUUAAUUGGGCGUUAAGUUGCAGGGUAUAGACCCGAAACCCGGUGAUCUAGCCAUGGGCAGGUUGAAGGGUUGGGUAACACUAACUGGAGGACCGAACCGACUAAUGUUGAAAAAUUAGCGGAUGACCUGUGGCUGGGGGUGAAAGGCCAAUCAAACCGGGAGAUAGCUGGUUCUCCCCGAAAGCUAUUUAGGUAGCGCCUCGUGAAUUCAUCUCCGGGGGUAGAGCACUGUUUCGGCUAGGGGGCCAUCCCGGCUUACCAACCCGAUGCAAACUGCGAAUACCGGAGAAUGUUAUCACGGGAGACACACGGCGGGUGCUAACGUCCGUCGUGAAGAGGGAAACAACCCAGACCGCCAGCUAAGGUCCCAAAGUCAUGGUUAAGUGGGAAACGAUGUGGGAAGGCCCAGACAGCCAGGAUGUUGGCUUAGAAGCAGCCAUCAUUUAAAGAAAGCGUAAUAGCUCACUGGUCGAGUCGGCCUGCGCGGAAGAUGUAACGGGGCUAAACCAUGCACCGAAGCUGCGGCAGCGACGCUGAUGCGUUGUUGGGUAGGGGAGCGUUCUGUAAGCCUGCGAAGGUGACCUGUGAGGGUUGCUGGAGGUAUCAGAAGUGCGAAUGCUGACAUAAGUAACGAUAAAGCGGGUGAAAAGCCCGCUCGCCGGAAGACCAAGGGUUCCUGUCCAACGUUAAUCGGGGCAGGGUGAGUCGACCCCUAAGGCGAGGCCGAAAGGCGUAGUCGAUGGGAAACGGGUUAAUAUUCCCGUACUUGGUGUUACUGCGAAGGGGGGGACGGAGAAGGCUAUGUUGGCCGGGCGACGGUUGUCCCGGUUUAAGCGUGUAGGUGUGUGUUCCAGGUAAAUCCGGUUCACUUUAACACUGAGGCGUGAUGACGAGGCACUACGGUGCUGAAGCAACAAAUGCCCUGCUUCCAGGAAAAGCCUCUAAGCAUCAGGUAACAUCAAAUCGUACCCCAAACCGACACAGGUGGUCAGGUAGAGAAUACCAAGGCGCUUGAGAGAACUCGGGUGAAGGAACUAGGCAAAAUGGUGCCGUAACUUCGGGAGAAGGCACGCUGACACGUAGGUGAAGUGAUUUACUCACGGAGCUGAAGUCAGUCGAAGAUACCAGCUGGCUGCAACUGUUUAUUAAAAACACAGCACUGUGCAAACACGAAAGUGGACGUAUACGGUGUGACGCCUGCCCGGUGCCGGAAGGUUAAUUGAUGGGGUCAGCGCAAGCGAAGCUCCUGAUCGAAGCCCGGUAAACGGCGGCCGUAACUAUAACGGUCCUAAGGUAGCGAAAUUCCUUGUCGGGUAAGUUCCGACCUGCACGAAUGGCGUAAUGAUGGCCAGGCUGUCUCCACCCGAGACUCAGUGAAAUUGAACUCGCUGUGAAGAUGCAGUGUACCCGCGGCAAGACGGAAAGACCCCGUGAACCUUUACUAUAGCUUGACACUGAACAUUGAGCCUUGAUGUGUAGGAUAGGUGGGAGGCUUUGAAGUGUGGACGCCAGUCUGCAUGGAGCCGACCUUGAAAUACCACCCUUUAAUGUUUGAUGUUCUAACGUGGACCCGUAAUCCGGGUUGCGGACAGUGUCUGGUGGGUAGUUUGACUGGGGCGGUCUCCUCCUAAAGAGUAACGGAGGAGCACGAAGGUUGGCUAAUCCUGGUCGGACAUCAGGAGGUUAGUGCAAUGGCAUAAGCCAGCUUGACUGCGAGCGUGACGGCGCGAGCAGGUGCGAAAGCAGGUCAUAGUGAUCCGGUGGUUCUGAAUGGAAGGGCCAUCGCUCAACGGAUAAAAGGUACUCCGGGGAUAACAGGCUGAUACCGCCCAAGAGUUCAUAUCGACGGCGGUGUUUGGCACCUCGAUGUCGGCUCAUCACAUCCUGGGGCUGAAGUAGGUCCCAAGGGUAUGGCUGUUCGCCAUUUAAAGUGGUACGCGAGCUGGGUUUAGAACGUCGUGAGACAGUUCGGUCCCUAUCUGCCGUGGGCGCUGGAGAACUGAGGGGGGCUGCUCCUAGUACGAGAGGACCGGAGUGGACGCAUCACUGGUGUUCGGGUUGUCAUGCCAAUGGCACUGCCCGGUAGCUAAAUGCGGAAGAGAUAAGUGCUGAAAGCAUCUAAGCACGAAACUUGCCCCGAGAUGAGUUCUCCCUGAGACUUUAGGUCUCCUGAAGGAACGUUGAAGACGACGACGUUGAUAGGCCGGGUGUGUAAGCGCAGCGAUGCGUUGAGCUAACCGGUACUAAUGAACCGUGAGGCUUAACCUU
rnacentral:rRNA from 1 species